UGGGGAAUAUUGGACAAUGGGCGCAAGCCUGAUCCAGCCAUGCCGCGUGAGUGAUGAAGGCCCUAGGGUUGUAAAGCUCUUUCACCGGUGAAGAUAAUGACGGUAACCGGAGAAGAAGCCCCGGCUAACUUCGUGCCAGCAGCCGCGGUAAUACGAAGGGGGCUAGCGUUGUUCGGAUUUACUGGGCGUAAAGCGCACGUAGGCGGACUUUUAAGUCAGGGGUGAAAUCCCGGGGCUCAACCCCGGAACUGCCUUUGAUACUGGAAGUCUUGAGUAUGGUAGAGGUGAGUGGAAUUCCGAGUGUAGAGGUGAAAUUCGUAGAUAUUAGGAGGAACACCGGUGGCGAAGGCGGCUAUCUGGACAGUAACUGACGCUGAGGCGCGAAAGCGUGGGGAGCAAACAGG
rnacentral:rRNA from 1 species